AGUUUCUACCGCCCUUAUUUGGUUGAGCCAAACUCUUUAACAAUAGACACACACAGCCACCUACGGACGCUUUACGCCCAAUCAUUCCGGAUAACGCUUGCAUCCUCCGUAUUACCGCGGCUGCUGGCACGGAGUUAGCCGAUGCUGAUUCCUCAGGUACCUUCACUUGCUUAUUCCCUGAGAAAAGAGGUUUACAACCCAAGAGCCUUCCUCCCUCACGCGGUAUUGCUCCGUCAGGCUUUCGCCCAUUGCGGAAAAUUCCCCACUGCUGCCUCCCGUAGGAGUCUGGACCGUGUCUCAGUUCCAGUGUGGCUGAUCAUCCUCUCAGACCAGCUACUGAUCGUCGCCUUGGUAGUCCCUUACACCACCAACUAGCUAAUCAGACGCGAGCUCAUCUCCAGGCAGUUAACCUUUCACCUCUCGGCAUACCCGGUAUUAGCCACCGUUUCCAGUGGUUGUCCCGAACCUAGAGCCAGAUUCUCACGCGUUACUCACCCGUCCGCCACUAAACCCCUAAAGGGUCCGUUCGACUUGCAUGUGUUAAAGCAUACCGCCAGCGUUCAUUCUGAGCCAGGAUCAAACUCUUCAUUGAAUCACUAAUGAAUUC
rnacentral:rRNA from 1 species